rnacentral:lncRNA from 1 species
UUCAAACAACAUAUUUUAGAUUAGGGUGAGCCUUGAAAAACAAAUUUCUGCCAGUCUGAAGGGUGAUAUGGUAUGGGUGUGUACAGAUUUUUGUUUGCAUUCAAGGACCUUCACUGACAGCAUUAGCUCAAAUUUUAAGCAUCUUUUAGUUCCUACAGUUAUGCUGAUUGUUCAGAUCAGCUUUUUGAAGUUCAUUUAGCAGGCCAUAAGGUAUUUAUUUCCUGAUGGGGGAACUUGGAAAAGGUAGUUAUAACCAACAAAAUGAAAAUAUUCAGCCUUUAGUUAACACAUGCUGGUUGCCAUUUUCUUCUCCAGAUAUUAGAAUACAUUGACUUAAAUAAUUGAAUUUUGCUAAAUUGUUAUUCUCUAAGUAUG